GUUCCUCUGGGGGCAUCUGGUUAAAUUGGAAUGAUAGAAGAUUAACAUGUCCCCUGCACAGGGAUGAUACGCAUAAAUGUUUUCCUCAUCCUG
rnacentral:snRNA from 1 species